CAGCAGCCGCGGUAAUACAGAGGGUGCGAGCGUUAAUCGGAUUUACUGGGCGUAAAGCGUGCGUAGGCGGCUAAUUGAGUCGGAUGUGAAAUCCCCGAGCUUAACUUGGGAAUUGCAUUCGAUACUGGUUAGCUAGAGUGUGGGAGAGGAUGGUAGAAUUCCAGGUGUAGCGGUGAAAUGCGUAGAGAUCUGGAGGAAUACCGAUGGCGAAGGCAGCCAUCUGGCCUAACACUGACGCUGAGGUACGAAAGCAUGGGGAGCAAACAGGAUUAGAGACCCCCGUAGUCCCUGUCUCUUAUAC
rnacentral:rRNA from 1 species